UACAGAGGUCCCAAGCGUUGUUCGGAUUCACUGGGCGUAAAGGGUGCGUAGGCGGUCGGGUAAGUCUGAUGUGAAAUCUCACAGCUUAACUGUGAAACUGCAUUGGAUACUAUCCGGCUCGAGGAAUGGAGGGGAGACUGGAAUACUUGGUGUAGCAGUGAAAUGCGUAGAUAUUACCAGGAACACCAAUGGCGAAGGCAGCUUGCUGGGCCACUCCUGACACUGAGGUACGAAAGCGUGGGGAGCGAACAGG
rnacentral:rRNA from 1 species